rnacentral:tRNA from 1 species
GGGGAUGUAGCUCAGUCGGUAGAGCAUAUAGUUCACAUAUAUGAGGUCCCAGGUUCGAGCCCCAGCAUCUUCA